AGAACUUGAAACCGUGUGCUUACAAGUAGUCAGAGCCCGUUAAUGGGUGAUGGCGUGCCUUUUGUAGAAUGAACCGGCGAGUUACGAUCUGAUGCAAGGUUAAGCAGAAAAUGUGGAGCCGUAGCGAAAGCGAGUCUGAAUAGGGCGAAUGAGUAUUUGGUCGUAGACCCGAAACCAGGUGAUCUACCCUUGGUCAGGUUGAAGUUCAGGUAACACUGAAUGGAGGACCGAACCGACUUACGUUGAAAAGUGAGCGGAUGAACUGAGGGUAGCGGAGAAAUUCCAAUCGAACUUGGAGAUAGCUGGUUCUCUCCGAAAUAGCUUUAGGGCUAGCCUCAAGUGAUGAUUAUUGGAGGUAGAGCACUGUUUGGACGAGGGGCCCCUCUCGGGUUACCGAAUUCAGACAAACUCCGAAUGCCAAAUAAUUUAACUUGGGAGUCAGAAUGUGGGUGAUAAGGUCCAUAUUCGAAAGGGAAACAGCCCAGACCACCAGCUAAGGUCCCAAAAUAUAUGUUAAGUGGAAAAGGAUGUGGCGUUGCCCAGACAACUAGGAUGUUGGCUUAGAAGCAGCCAUCAUUUAAAGAGUGCGUAAUAGCUCACUAGUC
rnacentral:rRNA from 1 species